UCCCCGGAGGACUAGUGGUUAGGUUUCGGCGCUCUCACUGCCACAGCCCGGGCUGGAUUCCUGGCCGGGGAA